AAAUUAAAUGUGUUCCAAGACAUAUAUAUACCAUUUAAGGAGUGUUUUAGAGUGCCCAAAGAAUAAAGGAAGGGUCAACGGGCCUUGAAGGGGUAAAAGGAGGGCGAAACAGGGCUAAAAAGCCCCUUGGAAGGGACUUGAGUCCCAC
rnacentral:ncRNA from 10 species